UAUAUAUAUAUAUUUGCGUAUUGAUCCGCAGCGUUAUAAAAAAUGUCUGACAAAGGUUCAAAAUGUAAUCGACAAAGACGUACAAUAAGAAAGCCUAAAAAGUAUUGUACUACAGAUUCUGAUAAGCCAACGAAUAAGGAAAAGGCUAAAAAUAAAAUAUUAGAAGAAAUGACAACAGUAUUCAGAAAUUCUAAUUCUGAAGAAUCAGAUGAGGCAUCAAGUCAAUCAUCUGAUAAUGAAUCUAAUUUUUCUACUGACAGUGAGAACGAUGUUGAAAUGAAGAAAAGAUAUGAAAGAAAUGAACAAUUAACUCGGAAAAAAGAAGGAAAUCAAGACAAAUUAAUAAGACCAACUUCCAAAAAAGUAGAAAAUCAAGUUAAACCAGUCGGGCUUGACAAAAAAAAGGAAACAAAAAAACAACAUCGGAACAGCUACUUGAACAGCAUAGAAAUAAUAAUUUGAACUCACCUGGUUGUUCAACACAAACAUUACAAAAUAAUUAUGAUCAAAGAGAUGAUGUGAUAUGUUCCUCAAAUAAUCAUUCUAUUUACGAUUUCAACUCAGGGAUAAUUGCCGAAACAAGUACUGUUCAAAACAAUUCCCCACAAAUUAAAAUGUGGAAUAAAUCUACUCCAGCUGUUACUUCAAAUUAUAGCUAUUAUGACAGUUGGAACACUAAUGAUACUGCUUCAUCCACAUAUACACAAGGAUUACAUACCUCAGAACCCGCACCGGAUAAUUUUACACAUGGACAUAUUCCGCAAUUCUACAAUUCUCACAAUCAUAAUUAUGGUCAUAUAAGUUAUGAAAAUCCUGAAAAUGUCAAUUUAAAUAACUUAAAGACAUUGCAAGACUUGAGCGCAUCGCAAGAAAUAUUCUU